AGCACCGGCUAACUCCGUGCCAGCAGCCGCGGUAAUACGGAGGGUGCAAGCGUUACUCGGAAUCACUGGGCGUAAAGGACGCGUAGGCGGAUUAUCAAGUCUCUUGUGAAAUCCUAUGGCUUAACCAUAGAACUGCUUGGGAAACUGGUAAUCUAGAGUGAGGGAGAGGCAGAUGGAAUUGGUGGUGUAGGGGUAAAAUCCGUAGAGAUCACCAGGAAUACCCAUUGCGAAGGCGAUCUGCUGGAACUCAACUGACGCUAAUGCGUGAAAGCGUGGGGAGCAAACAGGAUUAGAUACCCUGGUAGUCCACGCCCUAAACGAUGUAUACUAGUUGUUGCUAAGCUAGUCUUGGCAGUAAUGCACCUAACGGAUUAAGUAUACCGCCUGGGGAGUACGGUCGCAAGAUUAAAACUCAAAGGAAUAGACGGGGACCCGCACAAGCGGUGGAGCAUGUGGUUUAAUUCGAAGAUACGCGAAGAACCUUACCCGGACUUGAUAUCUAACAAAUCAUCUAGAGAUAGAAGAGUGUCUGCUUGCAGAAAUGUUAAGACAGGUGCUGCACGGCUGUCGUCAGCUCGUGUCGUGAGAUGUUGGGUUAAGUCCCGCAACGAGCGCAACCCACGUCAUUAGUUGCUAACAGUUCGGCUGAGCACUCUAAUGAGACUGCCUUCGUAAGGAGGAGGAAGGUGUGGACGACGUCAAGUCAUCAUGGCCCUUAUGUCCGGGGCGACACACGUGCUACAAUGGCAUAUACAAUGAGAAGCAAUAUCGCGAGAUGGAGCAAAUCUAUAAAAUAUGUCCCAGUUCGGAUUGGAGUCUGCAACUCGACUCCAUGAAGCCGGAAUCGCUAGUAAUCGUAGAUCAGCCAUGCUACGGUGAAUACGUUCCCGGGUCUUGUACUCACCGCCCGUCACACCAUGGGAGUUGAUUUCACUCGAAGCCGGAAUACUAAAUUAGUUACCGUCCACAGUGGAAUCAGCGACUGGGGUGAAGUCGUAACAAGGUAACCGUAGGAGAACCUGCGGUUG
rnacentral:rRNA from 1 species